UCUGUGCAAAAAAGUUGAUGGUAUUUUGAUAGGGAUUGCAUUAGAUGUGUAGACUGCUCUUGGUAGCAUAGACAUUUUCACAUUUACUUGG